rfam:Triticum aestivum genome assembly, contig: Triticum_aestivum_CS42_TGACv1_scaffold_157922_2DL
AUACAUUUCUCGGCCUUUUGACUAAGAUCAAGUCUACUAUCUGUUCUUAUCAGUUAAUAUCUAAUACGUGGAUUUUCAUGUCCACAUGAUAUUGAUUUUUUUUAUUUUGGAGGUGAUCCGCAUAUGUAGCUCGCUACAUGGGUCUUCAUGAUCGCUAUAGCGUUCCACUACUGUGGGUUGAUGCGCC